UACGUAGGUGGCGAGCGUUGUCCGGAAUUAUUGGGCGUAAAGGGUUCGUAGGCGGUAAUACAUGUCAGAUGUGAAAUCUUGUGGCUUAACCACAUCAAGCAUCUGAAACUGUAUAACUUGAGUGGAGGAGAGGUAAGUGGAAUUCCUAGUGUAGCGGUGAAAUGCGUAGAUAUUAGGAAGAAUACCAGUAGCGAAGGCGACUUACUGGCCUCUAACUGACGCUGAUGAACGAAAGCGUGGGUAGCAAACAGGAUUAGAUACCCU
rnacentral:rRNA from 1 species